AAAGCGGUGCUGCCUUUUUUCUGUCCCGUUCUGGCUCUCUUGGUGAACCGUUCCAUGAUUUUACUCUCCUCAUUUUCUCUCCCCAAUUCCUCUCGGCUUGGCACAUUUCCUACCAGAGCUCCUCCCUGAUCCUACUCCUGCCCCCAUCUUCUCCAUGACUGGAGUCUCCUGCUUCCGAGGUCAUCGUGGCUACGCCAGGGCAGCCUUGGCGCUCUGUUCUUCCCGCCAACCAUUGGCGCCCCCACGAGGAGCUCGCCGGCCAGCUUCGAGGCGAGAGCUUGGGAUGGAGCGGUGAAUAUUGAGGUCCUCAGAGCUGGCGGGCGAGCGACUUUGUUACCGAAUUUCGCGAUCUGCUAUUACCGCGGCAGCCGUUUCCAGUCUCCACAAGGACAUCCCUCGGCCUACUUUGAUGUACUCCAUUGCCGUGCCUAAUGGCGCGACCACCGCCAGCAUAGGCGCGGAACGCCGCUGCUAGCAUCGUCUAUCCCCAGAACGCGGGGAGCUGGCCGAGCAGGAGCAGAGAGAGUCAACCGCAGAUCGAGGUGAGAUGCACCGGCACACUCUGCGACCAGACCAUGCCAUGCGACAGAUCAGGACACUCUGUUAAAGAUCUCUGCGGGUCUCCUGCUAGCUUGCAUGACCUUCAGCUCUAUUCUUGCUGCUGCCGGGCGACCUGCUAUCGGAGCUUGGAAGCCUGAUUCCGGAUGGCCUCCAUUGUCCUCCGCCUGAGCCGCCAACGCUGUUGGCUCCCUAAACGACGGAGAGAUCGGAAUUGGGGAGGAAUGGAGAUCUGAAUCGGAGGGUGCGGGAGGAGGGUGUGGAAUAGUGUCUUGACCCAGGCUCACAAGGUCAAGCUGUAGCUUGGUUCAGAAAAUCAAUGUCUCCAGUGAAGGUGUCAAAUUUGUUAUGGCAGAGGUAAAAUCUUGGCAGCCUGCAGGAUUUCUUGGACACUGGACAGAAAUGGAGCCAGAUUAAGAGGUUGAGCCCUACGUCAGGCAAUUGUAUAGUAAUUUAUUUAUCCAAAUAAACCAAGCACAGCUGUUUGGAAUUUAUGUAAUUCUCAUUUUUAGUUUAUGCUAACAGGUCGGCAAUAGAUGUACUAGCUAUAACCUAACAUGAAAAUACAGUAAUCUUUUGCCUUCAUGAAUUUGAACAUCAACAUCUUAAUGGAAAAGGUACACUUGAUUUAGAGAAUACAAACAUAGGUAAUAUGCAUAUUGUAUUAGACUCUUAGUUGUCUACAUGACCAUGAUAAUUUUCUUGGUAUAGUGCUAUACUUUCAAAUUACUUUAUCUCUUUCUUCCUUAAUACUUUGUUCAGUCAUAUGUAUUCUGGUUGUUGUAGGCUUGGGUUUUUGAAGAAGCAAAAAGGGAGCUACAGGUGGUUCAUGUUUCUGCUUGAUUAUUUGUUUUGCAGUCAUCUGAUUCAAUGUUUCCUUCGGUUGCUCAAGGAGGUUCUUUUCAACGUUUGCAUGGUUUGUUUCUGUCCAUUUUAUGUUCUGAUUUCGGUGGUCACUUAAUUUUUUGUUUCUCAUUCUUCUUGUUUUUAUGUAUAUUUUUCAGCUUUGCAUGGGAAUUCUUUUAGUAUUCAUAGGUCUUUAUGUUCAGGUCAUUCGCAUGGUUUAUGUACUGAUUCGCCAUUUGUGGCCUUGUGGAUGAUGGUUCCUCUAGGAAACCGAUUAAUCUUCACUUAGUUUGUGCCUUUUGGUUUUUCUAAUUCUAUGUUGUUUUCUGUGGCUGACAACUUAACUAUAAGACUUGCUUCUGGUCUAAGAGGUAGAACAUGAAGACCAAAUUGCAGAAAUCCCACAACCAUGACAAAUUAAAAUCCCAUUUUAAUUGAACUUGAUUGACAUGGGCACAUGACAUAUACCAUGGCAUUGAAGGUUGAGUGGUGUCAAUGCCUUGGCAUCUACUUGCUGUAUCAGUCUAAGCUGAGAUAACUGGUCCUUUAAUGUCUGGCGUAAAUGAACUGCUAGAGUUACUAAAACAUGAUGGUAGUAAUUUUCCUUUUCCUGAUGGUUUAGAUGAGCUGCUAGAGUGGCUUAUAUAUGAUGGUGAUGUCUUAGAUGGAACCCACUGCAGCUGCUGGUUUCAGCUUCUCGGUUCUCAAGCUAUCUAUGAGAGACAGCUCACUCGCAGCCAUAAUAGACUUAGUUUAUCUAGAAGGACCAGGUGCUGAGACUUCCUUAACUGCUUUGUUUGUAAUGUGCGUUAUUCUACGUAUCUAUAGUGGAUGAAUAUAUAAAAAAAUGGCUCUUUUGUUUCCUGUUUUUAUGCUGCUUUUUGCUACUGCAAAUGUGUUUCAACUCUUGCCAACAGAGUCAGAUACCUCAAACGAAAUGUAGAGUGCAGAAUAACGUAUCAGUUGCUGUCAGUUUGAUCUUUCUUCAUUCCCUCCGCUUGCGAUGCCUAUUUUCUUCAGUCUCCCCAGCCAGGAGAAGACGAAGCCACUGAAAGCUCACCAGUUACGUAUGAAGCAGAGUCACAGGCCUGGACUAUUUCGCUGACCUAGCCAGCACACGUGUGCUAGAUUUACUACAACAUCCCGUUAGAUAUAUUCCUUUCCAUUUUUCUGAGGUAGGUUCUAUGUGACAAAUGUAAAGGUAAUGUCACACAUACAGUAUCAAGAUUAAACACAUGGCGGUAGAUUUACUACAGCGUUCCGUUAACUCACUAUUUGUCACACACUGUCUUUACGUUUUCCUUCCAAAAUUACAAGUGGUCACUCACCAUUAUUUGUCACACACUAUCUUUACGUUUUCCUUCCAAAAUAACAAGUGGUCACUCACUGUAUGCAGAUUGAAUUACAUAGCCUGUAAAUUUUGCUGAAUUUAGAGUAGCACAAAUAGGGCAUUGGCUACUUCUCUAAGCUGAACAAUUGUAUCUAAAGAUAGGCUUUGAAUCAUUGCUUUUGAGACCUUGAUGUGCACAGUCAUGACCAACCCAACCGAGGUCUCCUUUUUUGUGAAAUAUAUUGCAGCAUGUAGUUGAGCAAAAUUCUGAAAGGAGGCAAUGACAUCUCUAAUUUCAUAUGUCACCUGUUGCAUAGAAAUGGAGUUUGUUGCUGAAGCUCUAGCGAGCCUGACUGUUCUAUUUUUUUUCGGGGGUAGCAAUGGAUUGUCUGUAAGAAAAGUGACUAGCAGAGGAUUUUCACGAAGUACAUGAACUCUUAUUUUUA